UUUCAAGUGUUUUUGAGCACUUAAUUCCAUUUUUCACACAAAAUUUGAUGCAUAUUCUUUAAUCAAUUUUUUUCCACAGCAGAAAAUUGCUGAGUAUGCAAAACACUUGUAACUUUUAUGUCUCUUACCAACAAACUAAACAUGCUGAAACUGUAUUUUAUAUUGAUACACGAGUGUACCAACAUGAAAAAAUCACUGAUUGAAUGUAUGUAGACUGCGAAAUUUGAACAUUCACCUUCUUUUUUGUUAUUUAUACUUUGUAUAUUGAAAAAUACAAUACAAUACAAUGUAAUACAAUAAUUUAAUCAUCCUGGGAGAUCACAUGUGAUAUAGGACAAGUCAAUAAAAGCAUUAAAAAGGUCUUACAUUUACAAAUAUUAUCAGUCCUAAAAACAUAGAAACAUACAAUAUUCCAUAUGAUAAUCUAUUGAAUUUGUUAUAACUAAAUUAAAGCUAAAUUGCUACUAAAUUCUUUUGUUGUAUAAGGACACAGAUCGACUAGAACCAUUUUUUAGUUUUCGCCUAAAAAUAUGUGUUGGAUAAUUCCGGGGGGCUGAAGGGUACCUGAAAGUUCUCUUUUUUCCUAGUAUUGUGAGUAUGUUUGUUACAGUUUUUUUUGAAGGUAUUUUGAUUAUAAUGUACAUAUGUCAACAGUUCAAGAAUUAUUUGCCACUGACUGUUAAUAUUUCAUGUUCUUCAAAAAUGUUUCGACAUGAAUGGUCAGGUGGGCAACCCAGACAUCUUAGGAUACGCUUCUGACAUAGGAACACACUAUGUGCAGCUGAAGUGUUUCCCCAUACCAUAAUUCCAUAAGAAAUUCUGGAAUGGACUUCAGCAUGGCAAAAUUUUAGGAGAUGGUUCAAACUUAAUUCACUUUUUAGGAAGAAUAUUUACGAAGUUAUCUUCCUCUGAUCUGCAUUCCUGUGAGAAGGGUACAGCUGUUUAUCCGUCUCGAGACUUGUUGAUAAAUGAACAAUGGGAAGAAGUAUACAAAGGCACUGAUGUGAAUCAUUCUACUCAACUUAUCAAUUCCAUUAUCAUAAUGUGUUUCCACUCAAAAGACUAAAGGAUAGGAAUAAUGGUAAUAAGGAUAAAACAUGGAUAUCUAAAGAAAUUAAACAUCUACAUCAAAUGAUUCUGGGAACGUUUUUGUUCAAAUAGAGGAUGAAACAGUCAUCGAUAAGAAAGAAGAGAGCUUCAAUGAAAAUAAGUCAUCAGCGUUAUGUCAAAACGCUGAUGACUUAUUUGGAGUUUGGCACUGCAAAAGAUCAUAUUCCUAGUACUCAUCAAGUGGAAAAAUCAUGGCAGAAGUUAUCAUCAAAGUGAUUAAGUUUCCUUAGUGUGCUCUAAUAAGAAGAACAGCCUCAUCAUGGAAUAUGAAAAAAUAAAGUAUGUGGAA